UGUGUGGGACCUGAAGGUGGUCGUAAGGCUCCGCGUGCGGCUCGUGCCCAUGGCGACUGCGCAGAAGACAGGCGGGGUUUUUUUUCUCCCUCUAACAUUGUAUUACGAUCAUUUUAACGCAUACGGAACAGUUGAAAACAGUGCAGUGAACACCUAUAUACCUCCGCCUAAAUCAGACAACCUAGCACUUUGCCAUUUCUGCUCGUCACUCUCUCCCCACCUGUAGCUAUGUAUACACGUAUUGUCGUUAAACUAUUUCAAAGUUGCAGGCAUCAUGACAUCACAACUAGUACUUUGCACUGUAACUUUUUUUUGUUUUAGGACGGAGUCUUGCUCUGUCGCCCAGGCUGGAGUGCAGUGGCGAGAUCUCGGCUCACUGCAACCUCUGACCUCCGGGUUCAAGCGAUUCUCCUGCCUCAGCCUCCAUAGUAGCUGGGACUACAGAGACAGUCUACCUAUGUCGCCCAGGCUAGUCGCAAACUCCUGGCCUCAAGUGAACCUGAACCUCCUGCCUCGACCUCUCGAAUUGCUGGAAUUACAGGUGUGAGCCACCACACCCAGC
rnacentral:lncRNA from 1 species